UACGUAGGGUGCAAGCGUUAAUCGGAAUUACUGGGCGUAAAGCGUGCGCAGGCGGUCUUGUAAGCCAGAUGUGAAAUCCCCGGGCUUAACCUGGGAAUGGCAUUUGGGACUGCAAGGCUUGAGUGCGGCAGAGGAGACUGGAAUUCCUGGUGUAGCAGUGAAAUGCGUAGAUAUCAGGAGGAACACCGAUGGCGAAGGCAGGUCUCUGGGCUGACACUGACGCUCAUGCACGAAAGCGUGGGGAGCAAACAGG
rnacentral:rRNA from 1 species